AUACGUAGGUGGCAAGCGUUAUCCGGAAUUAUUGGGCGUAAAGAGGGAGCAGGCGGCAGCAAGGGUCUGUGGUGAAAGCCUGAAGCUUAACUUCAGUAAGCCAUAGAAACCAGGCAGCUAGAGUGCAGGAGAGGAUCGUGGAAUUCCAUGUGUAGCGGUGAAAUGCGUAGAUAUAUGGAGGAACACCAGUGGCGAAGGCGACGAUCUGGCCUGCAACUGACGCUCAGUCCCGAAAGCGUGGGGAGCAAAUAGGAUUAGAUACCCUAGUAGUCCACGCCGUAAACGAUGAGUACUAAGUGUUGGAUGUCAAAGUUCAGUGCUGCAGUUAACGCAAUAGGUACUCCGCCUGAGUAGUACGUUCGCAAGAAUGAAACUUAAAGGAAUUGACGGGG
rnacentral:rRNA from 1 species